rnacentral:rRNA from 1 species
CCUACGGGAGGCAGCAGUGGGGAAUUUUGGACAAUGGGCGCAAGCCUGAUCCAGCCAUGCCGCGUGAGUGAAGAAGGCCUUCGGGUUGUAAAGCUCUUUCAGUUGGGAAGAAACGAUUGCAACUAAUAAUUGUAAUUAAUGACGGUACCGACAGAAGAAGCACCGGCUAACUACGUGCCAGCAGCCGCGGUAAUACGUAGGGUGCGAGCGUUAAUCGGAAUUACUGGGCGUAAAGGGUGCGCAGGCGGUUUUGUAAGUCAGAUGUGAAAUCCCCGGGCUUAACCUGGGAAUGGCGUUUGAACUGCCAAGCUAGAGUGUAGCAGAGGGGAGUGAAUUUCCGCGUGUAGCAGUGAAAUGCGUAGAUAUGCGGAGGAACACCGAUGGCGAAGGCAGCUCCCUGGGCUAACACUGACGCUCAUGCACGAAAGCGUGGGGAGCAAACAGGAUUAGAUACCCUGGUAGUCCACGCCCUAAACGAUGUCAACUAGUUGUCGGGCCUAAUUGAGGGUUUGGUAACGUAGCUAACGCGUGAAGUUGACCGCCUGGGGAGUACGAUCGCAAGAUUAAAACUCAAAGGAAUUGACGG